UGUGUGACAGAGGUUCCUAGCAGAACACUUGAAAAGGUAAGCUAAUCAAAAUGAAGACACUGUUAGUUCUCGUCUUCAAGACAGCCUUCUUAAAGAUAGUUCACAAUUACAAGACUCAACCAUUGUCGACAAUUUUAUUUUUCUAUUUUAUGCAGGGCCAGGCUUGGACUAUUAUGAAUGUUGCUGAACACUGUUAAUCAAGCUUACACAGCUAUUUUGAUGGCAAACAAUUAGAACUCUGCAGCUCUACCUUGCAAUUAGCUUCAGGGAUAUGGACCUCAGCACCAUAAUAAUGAAAGAGACCUCCUUCAAGCACGACUUCCAAGCAUUGCUGUUACCAAAUUUCAUCAGCCAACUAUCUGCUGUGGCCUGUCAAACAGAAUCCACGUGCAUGAUCUGGAUUUUGAUUCGGGGAGCGCUUGCAAAAGAAUUAGUAGCAAAACAGGAUCCUGAAAGUUUUUCAAAGAAUCCUUUCAAGAACAACUCAAGUCACUGCAUAUGGCUGCAGUUGGUUUCAAUACUUCAGAUGACCUUGGAUUUGAACUACAUCUGACUUUUCCAAUUAGCUGUUGCUAAAUAUUCUCAGAAAGGGCUCACCACAUUUGUUGAUUUUUUUUUUUCCUGCCAAGAAUGGCUACAAUGCAGAAAAUUAGAAGAUGUAGGUGUUUAGGCCACUCACCAGUCAUGAGGAUGUGGACAUUUUUUACAGAAGUUCACUUUUCUUGAUCUGAAAGUGGAGACAAUCAUAUUUUUCCUACUCACAAAAGCCAACUUCCAGGAUGUUACGUUGAUAUAAUACAUGCAAAUAUACAAAAAAUAAUCUAUAAUUUGUAUUAAAAAUAUGCAAGAAAAAUAUACUUCAUAAAUAAGGAAGGUCAUUAUCAAUUCAAAACAGAAUAUUCCACUGAAAAUAAUAGAUUUUUUUUUCUGCUCCUCAACCACUCCUCUGAUUAUUUUUUCUUACUUUCCCUGGCAUCACUCUACUCUCCCCCCAAAAAAAAGAAAAAAGGAAGAAAGAAAAAAAUAAGAAAGAAAAACAAAAAGAAAGAAGAAAGAACAAAAGAAAGAAAAGAAAAAAAAUGCUUUCCUUAUAUGUUUUUGUUUUGUUUUUAGAUUUUAUUUAUUUAGUUGAGAAAGAGAGAGAGAGAGCACAUGAGUAGGGGAAGGGGCAGAGAGAGAAGCAGAGUCCCCACUGAGCAGGGAGCCAGACUCUGGCUUGAUCCCAGGUUCCUGAGAUCAUGGCCUGAGCCAAAGGAAGCCAUUAAAUGACUGUCACACAGGUGUUCUUGCUUCAUUUGUCUGAAUAAAUUUGUGAUGUAACUGCUUGUUAAGAUGAUA
rnacentral:lncRNA from 1 species